UCCGGGAGCUGGUUGAAGACCCUGAUUCGAUUUAUACUUCAUGGCUUCGCCUUCAUUCUAGCCUGCGCUAUUUGUCCUUUUCGGCGGAGCCCCGCUUGGUGGAUAGGCUCAAGAGCGUGACCUCGUUCGUGUUUCAGGUAGAGAAACUGCUGUCGGAAGAGAGUGGCAUUUACAGGCGCAUAUUAUACAAGCGCCGAAACAUGCACAAAAAUGCCAAGUUCUUUCAGAGGUCGAGGCAAAUAAGUGCGAAGUUGAAGGUGCUGGGACUGGAUAGGCUGUUCCAGAUAAUGCAAUUGGCGGUGAAAAAGUGCCAGACGUCGAGAAAAAAUUUUUUGAAUCAGCCGAGGCUGACGUCUUUGGAGGAUGCGUAUUGGGAAUAUCUGCUAUUCAGAAUAUAUGGAGUGCACUUACUGCUCGUGCAGGUGGGAAAUCUUAUGGUAUCCGCGUUUCAGCUCUAUUCGUCGAUGAUAGCAAUUACGAACUUUUUGCCGUUUUGCGUGAUCACGUCAGCAUCUUUGGCACGCAUGUUUAUUCUAUGUAGGCAUUUAGAUGCGGAGCUGACAGCUCUGUUCAACCAGAUUCGUCCGCACCUGACUGGCGAGCCUUCGAAUUUGCUCUGUGCAAAAUGGAGGGAAAAGUUUGGUGCGUUACCUGCGGCGUUGGCGGAUUCGAAUGAAGAGAGGAUGGAAUGGGACUCUCUGGAUGUGAACCCGUGGCUCAACGCGGCAUUGGCGGACGAUAGCAGAAGAGGCGAAGAGGAAGAAUUGGGCGAAGAAAUAAAGGCUUAAUUUUUUUUUAUGAUUUUUAGAGAGAGCUGAGUGGCUUUUAAGUUUAAAGAUGUCGGAAAAGGGUAGGGGAUGCUUGAUCGUUUUCGAGGGUAUGGACCGCUCAGGGAAGUCGAUGCAAGCCGAGCUUUUGGCAGAGAAACUGACAAAAAGUGGAGAAAAUAUAAAAAAAAUUUCUUUUCCAAAUCGAAAGAGUGUGACUGGUUCGGUAUUACACCAGUAUUUGAGCCAGUCUUUAGAUAUUGACGAUCAAGC